rnacentral:pre_miRNA from 1 species
UCUUAUGGAUGAGCAAAGAAAGUGUUUUCUUGAUAUGGAAUGUAUUCCUGGUGAAGAUCCUAAGAU